rnacentral:rRNA from 1 species
CGCCUAGAUUCGCGUCUAGCGUGCCCGCCAGAGGACCCCUAAACUCUGAAUGUUAGUGUCGUCUGAGUACUAUUAAAUAGUUAAAACUUUCAACAACGGAUCUCUUGGUUCUGGCAUCGAUGAAGAACGCAGCGAAAUGCGAUAAGUAAUGUGAAUUGCAGAAUUCAGUGAAUCAUCGAAUCUUUGAACGCACAUUGCGCCCCCUGGUAUUCCGGGGGGCAUGCCUGUUCGAGCGUCAUUUAUACCAAUCUAGCCUAGCUAGGUGUUGGGCUUCGCCGUCUGGCGGGCCUUAAAACUAGUGGCGGUGCUCUCAAGCUCUACGCGUAGUAAUUUUCUCGCUAUAGGGUCUUGAGAGAUGCUGGCCAGCAACCCCAAAUUUUUCUAGGUUGACCUCGGAUCAGGUAGGGAUACCCGCUGAACUUAAGCAUAUCAAUAAGCGGAGGAAAAGAAA